GGUGGCUCAGUGGUAGAGUGCUUGCCUUGCAUGCAGAAGGCCCUGGGUUCAAUUCCUCAGCACCA
rnacentral:tRNA from 1 species